UUUAAUCAAAUCUUCAUCUGUAGAUGAUAGCUUUUGACUGUUUUGUUGGUAAUAUUUCAAUGGAUGAUUGGAAAUUGCUUAAUUUAUUUAACCUUAACAUUUACACUUUACUGUUUAUCGAUGAUGUCACGUUAUCAAGGAGCGCGAAAAUUGGCAGAAAACUAAAGUUGUUUUGAUCUUUUAUGGUAAACAUAAAACUUUUCUGCGAUUUCAAGAGUGACAAAAUAAUCCUUCUACAACAGAAGGGAGUGUCCAAGAUUUCAAUAUUUCUGAAGGGAGCUGCUGACAGAGAUGUAGGAAGCGCUGAAAAGAUUCUUCAGUGCUGAUGGCCUGGAGUGAACCUACUGUAAGACAACAUCUCCAAGAUGCUAUUGACCACAAGACUAGUACAGGUUAUUAGAAACUGAACAGCACAGGACUUGCAGAACUUGUGAGGGCUUCAGAUGAUACCAGUACUCAAAAGACCUUAGAUGAUGGCAGCUAUAGAUGGACAUACAAACUACCGCCACUGCAAAAAAGAUUCUAAUUUGAAAGAAGUUUAUAAUGCAUGUUCGCUACUCCCAAUUCAGAAGACUGAAUCAGCCUGUGUAUCUGAAUGUUUCUCAUACUCACUCCUCUCUGCCGCGUCUGAAUUUGGGAUUGUCCUUCGCUGUCAGUUAUAAACGUCAAAAUAAAAAAAAGAAAUAAACAUUUGAAAUAUAUCAGUCUGUGUGUAAUGAAUAAAUAUAAUAUACAAGUUUAACUUUUUGAAUGAAAUUAGUGAAAUAAAUCAACUUUUUGAUGAUAUUCUAAUUAUAUGACCAGCACCUGUAUAUCAUUGCUCUUUUAUUGAUUUUGAUUGCUUCCAUUGUCCUCAUUUGUAAGUUGCUUUGGAUAAAAGUGUCUGCUAAAUGUAAAUGUAAUGUUCAUGUGUAUUUAACUAUAUAAAUAUUUAUCUGUAUUUUUUAUUUUGUAAUAAUGUAAAUGUAUUUGUUUUAUAUCUAUACAUGCAGUUGUAUUCAUGUAUGUAUAUUUAUUUGUCUAAUUUUUAUAUUUUAAUAAAGCAGUUUAGACUACAUGAGUGUUUUCUUUAUUCUGGAUUAAUUACGUAUUCUUUUGUGUCUAGAAAGGGUAAAUAUGGGCCAUAUCUAACCCAGAAGUCAGCCACAACUGGGACGGAUCUGGGCCACAUCUCAGAAAUGGCGUGGUUGACAUCUGGGCCAGGUGUCGCCCAUGCCAUUUGUGAGAUGCGGCAUGGAUCUGGUAAAGUUGUGGCUGACUUCUGUCAGACAAAACUGGGCCAGAUCUGGCCCAGAUGUCACCCACACCAUUUCUGAGAUGUGGCCCAGAUCUGGUUCAGUUGUGGCUGACAUAUGUCAGCCAGACUCAGGUUGAGUCAUCGCCGUCAUUCCGCGCGGUAUGUGGGCCAGAAGAAUAUGGGAGAUGUGGGCCAGAACUGGGCCACAUGUCAUUUGCUAUC